UCAGACAUGGUGUAGUGGGAACAUGGCCUUUUGUAAUUUGCCCGAUAGCGUUCAGCUAUAGAGGUAGUUCAGGGUUCGAUCCCCUGUGUCUGAA